ensembl:lncRNA
UGAUGAGCUGUCAUGGAAAUUGGACUAAACACACCCCUCUCCUGGACUAAACAAGACCCAUUCCCUUCCCAGGUUUUAGAGAGAUUGGAAACAUUUCCCAAAGCUGAUCAGCAAGCAAACAGCAGAGUCAGGACUGCAUUUCUGGCAUCUGACUCUGAAUCCACACUCUUGACACACAGACCACCUCCAGCAGCCUACCCUUGGGAAGGCCUGACACAUGCUUACAAUUGGGAUACAAAGCAGCUGCCGGAUUCUGCACUGCCAUUAAGUGGCAAGAGAAAACUGCAGUGUUCAAAUGAGGCCGCCAACUGAAAAUAAGCCUCAGUUUGGGGAUUAAAAUGUAUUUCAGUGCUUGGUUUGUCUACAAAUUUUAUGUUCUAUUCGUGCGGAGAUUAAAAUGAUAAACUUGAAGCUCUUCAAAUAAACUCAUAAUAAUAUUUUUCAGAAUUGAUUUUUUUUCUUGAGUUUAAUUUUAAUUUCAAGAAAGGUAUCUUAAGUGUUCACCCAAACUGCUUAUAG